AUCUGACGCUCAGGCUCCGCCCCCUGCAUGUCUUUGUUGGCAAACAGUUCUGGGGGUCGUCCGAUCCUGCAGGCUGGGAAGUUCAAGCACAUGGCUCUAGCUUCUGGUGAGAGGUUUCAGGCUGCGUCAUAAUAUGGCAGAGAAGAUCAAUGGGUAAAUGGACAUGUGUGAAGAAAGGCAAAACCAGAGACCGUCCAGGCUGGACUUGAACUCCUUCCUCGGCUGAAGUGAUCCUCCUGCCUCAGCGUCCUGAAUAGGAAGUGGAGCCAGAAUCCACAGAUGUCAUUAUCCAUCUGCACACUUUGUUUACUACCCAGAAGGCAAGAAUAUUGCAUUUUAAAAGUGCCCGGACUUUUGUUCUUUCUUAUCACAAAUGACUUGGGAAGCUCCGACCACUCAUGUUUACCCCGAGUGAAAGUCCCAUUCAAAGCCUUGCUUCCUGGAGAGCUUUGAGAUUCUGGUACAAAAGGCAUUUUAUAAGCACAAAGUGGAAAAGCAUCAUUCAUAUUCAUUUGCUGCUGCGGCAUUUCUCCCUGGAAUCUUCCUCUUGUCUGUCAACAUUGGGCAAAAGGACUGGCCUCAUCUACAUUACAGAUAUCCUUGUGAUGGUCUGGAGGGACCUGUGGGAGAGGCGGCCAUCCAGAGGGCUCUCUGAGGGGUCAUUUAGAAUGCAACUCUUCUGGGCAGAGGAUGGUCUGCACUGGCCUCCACCACGCAGGAAGGCUUCCAGAGUGGAGAAAUGUCCACUAACAUGGCUUCUGUGAGGUGUGGGCAGCUCUUUUCUUGGUGUGGGGCUCUGUUUGGUGUGAUGUAAGAGGUAUCACAGGGCUUUCCUGUCCCAGAAGAUCUUAGUGGAUGACACCUAUGGGGGUUGCCAGCUGGAUUAGGUGAGGCAGAGCACACAGCUCUACCUAAGGGGUCCCAUUCUCAUCUGGGAAUAUUCUAGGACAUAGGACACUACCCAAGAGGCAGAGCCUGGAGUGGCAUUAUACGGGUGAAAGAUCUGAGUGCCAGGUCCAUAUAAAUGAGUGGGGUUGGGGGGAUCGAGGUGCUUAGAGAACAGGAGAGCUGCCACAGGAAGGGAUGGUACCCACAGGGAGGAAGAACCAUGUCUCAGAUUCCUUCCUUUAUACCUCUUCCUGGGACCUCCUUGGAGUCUGCAGAUCAGCUGGUGCUUCUCCAUCUCCUGUCAUCUUCUUCAAAUCUUUUCAUCACAAAAAAUUUUCAGUGUAAACCUAAGUAGAGAGAACAGUAAAAGGAACCCCCAGGGGCCGUCACCAUCACCCACCAUCAACAGCGAUCAAUGGGCCGUCUAAGUCCGUUUUCCCUACUUUCAUCCCCGCUCCAGAUUAUUAUCAAAAGUAGCUCAUCCCUAGUUAUAUUUCAUUUAAUCCUCUCAGUUGCAUUUUUUUCUGGCCACGUUCUUCUGUCUGUCAAUCAUGGUCUUAAGUCAGACAGUCUGCUGGGUUGGCUAGGAAAAGACUCUUUCUUUCUCAAGAAAGAGUUGUAAGUAAUUUUGAGAGAAAUGUUGCAGAUUGACCAAACAAGGUAUGCUUAAUUUAGUUCAAUUCAUCAGUUACUUAUUGAGUCCUAGGCUUAGUGCUGGAUUCAACAUAUCAGUCAAUCAUGGUUUCUGGCCUACAGGGUUCAGUGCUCUAGUUCUGGGUGUGCGACGAGGACCACAGCAAGUAUUCACUCAGGAAAGGCAGAAUGUGGCCACAGGGAAAGGAAAGGUACAAGGUGUGGUGGAGGUUACAAGGCAUGACAAACACACUGGGCUGGGAAUGGUAACAGUGGAAGAGGAUCAGGAAGGGUCGUGAAGCCUGAGGCAUUGGAGAGGGACUUGGAAACCUGGGCAGACAGUGGGACGGUGACUGCAAAACACUCAAGUGUGCAGGUGGGAAUGGCAGUGGGGGACAGGCGAGCCUAGCAGCGAGAACACAUGGUGCAAGGGGCCCCAUGGGGGUUCUGGGGUGGAGGAGGUAGGCAAUUGGGCUCUCAAAGAAACCCUUGGGCUUUUUCUAGCUUAAUAAUAAACAAUUAUUAUUUCUAAGGAAAAAGAAAACUGGAUUUCUAGAAGCAUGGCUAUUAAAAAAAAAACAACUCCAGACCCCAAUUAGGAAACUGAAAGGAAAUCAAAGUGGGCCUAAUGGAAAUUAGGUAGUAGGGGCAAUAAAAGAAAAUGCAGGUAGCUGCCUAAAAUCCAGUGGACUCCAGGUCCACCAGCCAGGCACCACAUUGUUUUAACCUAUAAAUGAAGUAUGUCCAUGACUCUCACUACAUAAAAUGGAAGUUAAGCCAUAGUCCUUUUCCAAUGUGAUCUGAAAAUGUACUGUUUUUGCCUCUAGCAAAGCAAAUAUAUAGACAGAAAAUUCCUAGCACUGCUUUCACGCGAGGGAUGACAAAGGUGACAGACUCGGGCAAAAUGUUCAUAUUCUAUACGUGAAAUGGAAUGGUAACUUGAUUUUUCAAAAGGAUAAGAUUCUUGUUACAAAUUUAAGCAUAUUUAUUAAAGAAAACUCAAAUU